rnacentral:rRNA from 1 species
CCUACGGGUGGCUGCAGUGGGGAAUUUUGGACAAUGGGGGCAACCCUGAUCCAGCCAUGCCGCGUGCGGGAAGAAGGCCUUCGGGUUGUAAACCGCUUUUAGCCGGGAAGAAAAGGCGAGGGAUAACACCCUUCGUUCUUGACGGUACCGGCGGAAUAAGCACCGGCUAACUACGUGCCAGCAGCCGCGGUAACACGUAGGGUGGGAGGGGUAAGCGGAAUUACUGGGCGGAAGUCGUGCGCAGGCGGUUGACCUGGGAAUGGCAUUGGAUACUGGCGGGCUGGAGUGUGGCAGAGGGGGGUGGAAUUCCGCGUGUAGCAGUGAAAUGCGUAGAGAUGCGGAGGAACACCGAUGGCGAAGGCAGCCCCCUGGGCUGACACUGACGCUCAGGCACGAAAGCGUGGGGAGCAAACAGGAUUAGAUACCCUUGUAGUC